UGGCUCAGGAUGAACGCUAGCGACAGGCCUAACACAUGCAAGUCGAGGGGCAGCGCGGGAGAAGCUUGCUUUCCUGGCGGCGACCGGCGCACGGGUGCGUAACAGGUGUGCAAUCUGUCCAUAGUCGGGGGAUAGCCCAGCGAAAGCUGAAUUAAUACUCCAUGUGAAUCGAAGCCGCAUGACUUUGAUUUGAAACGCAAGGACUAUGGGUGAGCACGCUUCUGAUUAGGUAGUUGGUGGGGUAACGGCCCACCAAGCCGACGAUCAGUAGGGUUCUGAGAGGAAGGUCCCCCACAUUGGAACUGAGACACGGUCCAAACUCCUACGGGAGGCAGCAGUGAGGAAUAUUGGUCAAUGGGCGAGAGCCUGAACCAGCCAAGUCGCGUGAAAGGAUGAAGGUUCUAUGGAUUGUAAACUUCUUUUGUCCGAGGGUAAAAAAGGCUACGUGUAGCUUCUUGCAAGUAUCGGACGAAUAAGCAUCGGCUAACUCCGUGCCAGCCGCUGC
rnacentral:rRNA from 1 species